rnacentral:rRNA from 1 species
UACGGAGGAUUCAAGCGUUAUCCGGAUUUAUUGGGUUUAAAGGGUGCGUAGGCGGUCUGAUAAGUUGGAGGUGAAAUGUUAGGGCUUAACCCUGAAACUGCCUCCAAUACUGUUGGGCUAGAGAGUAGUUGCGGUAGGCGGAAUGAAUGGUGUAGCGGUGAAAUGCUUAGAGAUCAUACAGAACACCGAUUGCGAAGGCAGCUUACCAAACUAUAUCUGACGUUGAGGCACGAAAGCGUGGGGAGCAAACAGG